rnacentral:rRNA from 1 species
AACGAACGCUGGCGGCAUGCCUAACGCAUGCAAGUCGAACGAAGGCUUCGGCCUUAGUGGCGCACGGGUGAGUAACGCGUGGGAACCUGCCUCUUGGUACGGAAUAACGUCGGGAAACUGACGCUAAUACCGUAUAUGUCUGCGGAUGAAAGAUUUAUCGCCGAGAGAGGGGCCCGCGUCUGAUUAGCUAGUUGGUGAGGUAACGGCUCACCAAGGCGACGAUCAGUAGCUGGUCUGAGAGGAUGAUCAGCCACACUGGGACUGAGACACGGCCCAGACUCCUACGGGAGGCAGCAGUGGGGAAUAUUGGACAAUGGGGGCAACCCUGAUCCAGCAAUGCCGCGUGAGUGAUGAAGGCCUUCGGGUUGUAAAGCUCUUUUGCCAGGGACGAUGAUGACGGUACCUGGAGAAUAAGCCCCGGCUAACUUCGUGCCAGCCGCCGCCGUAAUAC